AGAGAUGAUUAACAUGCACUGGGCUCUGAGCAGUUGUAUAUACUGUUUAUAUGAAGUACAAUGCAGUCUAGAAAACUAUAUCUGAUCU